GCCCUGCCCCGACCCCGCCGCGCCCCGUGAGGCUCUUCCGGUUGAGGUCUGAGCGGUAGCGGCCUUCCUUCUCCCUGGAAACUGCCUCCCUUGGAGGUUGAGCUCCCUGGGCCGACUCUGGCCGGUGUUCUCCUCUGUGUCCUUGUGGGCUCUUAGGACUCCCUACAGGGAGGGUGUUUCCCCUGCCUCUUCCCAGCUAGUCUUUCUGACUUCCGGCAGCUGGCAUGCUCUGAACCUGGCUCUAGGCUUCCUGACACAGUGUCCCUUCCAGUCAGCUCUGAGUUGGGGCAGGGCCAGCCCCAGGGCAGGGCACCCAAGCAGGCAGGGAGCUGGCUGGGAGCCCUGGCUUUCUCUUGCCUGGUGCUGCGGGGCCACCAUUCACAGGUGCCAAGAAGACAGGGCACAGACCUCCUAAAACGAGGCCACACGUCCACCCCUCGUGGCGGUAAAGGUUUCCCAGUUCAGGCCACCUGCGCUCAGGUAAACUUACAGACCUGGAAGAAGCAUCGUGUCAGAAAGGGGAGGCUGGGCUGGGGCUCGGUGGGAGGCGUCCUAGCCUGGGUGAGGCGCUGGGUUCCAUUCUCAGCACCACAUAAAGUAAAGGUGCAACACCAGGGAGCACUGCCCUUGGCGAGCCAGCGGCUGACUGGGCCUGUUGGGUGCAGACGGGCCAUAGGACGUCCGUCAGGCCGCAGAGCAGCACUGGGUCCUGGUGUGCCUCUGUGGUCAGCUGGAGCCUUCCUGCUUCUGGGAGGUGCCCAGUUUUCUGGCUGUGAUAUCAGAGGUUGGGUUCCCCUCGAUCAUGGUUCCCCGUGGUUCAUGGUUUUCCAUCCUGACCCCGUUGCUCUCCUCCCAGCAGCCUGGGCCUCUCUGGCCUCCCUCUGACACGGCCUUGAGCGGCAGCCUGCAUGCUGCUCGUCCCUGGGCAGCGUCUUCCCAAUCACCACAUUGUUAAACUCGGGCACUAGACCUCUGAGCCACAUCCCAGCCCUGUUUUACAUUUUGUUUAGAGACAGGGUCUCACUGAGCUGCUCAGAGCCUCGCAGAGGCUGAGGCUGGCUUUGAACUCGCGAUCCUCCUGCCUCAGCCUCCCACACUGCUGGGAUUACAGGCUCUCAUUGCCCAGAGUCCUGCCUUCCUGGAUUUGGCCAAAGCCAAAAAGCAGAAGGACUGAAAACUUUCUCAUUAAGCAUCUUACGGUGCUUCUGAUGGGGCCUGAAACAGGAAGUUGCACGGUCUGCUGC